rnacentral:rRNA from 1 species
CAUCCUCAGUUCGGACUGGGGUCUGCAACCCGACCCCACGAAGCUGGAUUCGCUAGUAAUCGCGCAUCAGCCAUGGCGCGGUGAAUACGUUCCCGGGCCUUGUACACACCGCCCGUCAAGCCAUGAAAGCCGGGGGCGCCUGAAGUCCGUAGUCUAACCGCAAGGAGGGCGCGGCCGAAGGUGGGUUCGAUAAUUGGGGUGAAGUCGUAACAAGGUAAC